UACGGAAGGGGCAAGCGUUGUUCGGAAUCAUUGGGCGUAAAGGGCGCGUAGGUGGCUCUGUAUGUCUAUCGUGAAAGCAUACAGCUCAACUGUAUUUUGUCGGUAGAAACUGCAGGACUUGAGGCUGGGAGGGGCUGGUGGAAUUCCCUGUGUAGCGGUGAAAUGCGUAGAGAUGGGGGAGAACACUCGUGGCGAAGGCGGCCAGCUAGACCAGUUCUGACACUGAGGCGCGACAGCGUGGGGAGCAAACAGG
rnacentral:rRNA from 1 species